CAUGACACAGACAAGAACCUAGGGUUCUUCAGUUUUCCUUUUUCUUCAAAUGCGCCUACUUCAUAUAUUCCAAAAAAUCUAAGGUAAGGUUUUACUGCUUUGGGUGUUUACUUGUGGUUUGGGAAUAUUUGGGUAGUUGUAAAUGGUGUCGUUUUCCAUGCCUUUAGUGUGUUUAAAAUUAUAUUUUUUAAAUUUAUAUUUGUGUUGUUUAUACUUUAUUACUUGUAGUGGUCCAUCUCUGGUUUUUAUUCUUUUUGACUUCAAUUUUGCAUUAAAAAAUUGGCCGUGGGGGUCCUUUUCUCUUUGAAUAUUGUCUAAUAUGGUCGUUUUCCUUUCUUUAAUAUUUUACAUGUGACUCGGUUCAAGAAUGGUUGAAAAUAUAGACUUGAUUUUUAAUUAUGGGGGACAGUGGAUUUGGAAACCACAACUGGCGUACCAUAAAAAAUUGAUUCACGUAUGGAGAGGUUAUGAAGUGGACUUGCUAUCUUAUAUUGAUAUAUGUUGAGAGUUCAAAGAAAAACUCGAUUUUAGUGAGGUGAGGCAACUUCUAGUAACUGUUCCAUCUGGUAUGUUCUCUGUGGUCGAGGGAGAUGAAGGUAUUAGAUCUCUUCAACAUCUAUUGUCUGAUAAUUUCAAGGUUGUGAAUUUCUUUGCGGUUGAUGACUAUGAAGGAGAUAUUGGGUCAAUUGUAAAUAUUAUUCACCACAAUGCCAGUACUAAUGUUCAUAUAAAUGUUGGAACAGAUUGUGAUAGUAGUGAGGAUGAGGAAUGUGGUGAAACUGUAUCUAGUGAAUAUGACAGUGACGAGUUGGAAGUUUAUAGGAAACAAAGGAAGUUCGAUAUCAAUGAUAAACUGGACAAGUACAAAGUUUUGGAUAAUGGUAUAACCUUUAAAGAUCUUGAUGAAGCUAAACAAGUUAUAGACUUCUAUGCAGUUGCAAAUAAGAGGAGUGUUAUAGUUAAGAAAAGUGACAAAUCUAGAGUUAGUUAUCGUUGUGUCGAUGGUUGUCCUUAAAUGUUUUAUUUCGAAGGAUGGGAAAUAUCAAGGCUUUAAGAUCAAGACCUUAAAUCAAGAACACAAUUGUGAUGAGAUUUUUGAGAACAGGAGAGCUAAUGUGGAAACUUUAGCUCAUUAUUUUAAGAAGAAAGUUCAGAAUAACCCUAAAUAUAAGAUUAAAGACAUGAAGGUAGACUUGGAAUCUGAAUUUAGCCUUAAUAUAAAUGAGUCAAAGUUGAAGAGGGUUAAGAGCCUAGUCUUGGACAAACUAGAUGGUAGUUAUACUGAUGAUUAUAAUAAGUUGGAGGCAUAUGUAGAAGAACUGAGGAAGAGUAAUCCAGGAUCUGAUGUAGUGAUCAAUUUUUCCAAAGAUGCUAUGGAAGAAGGCAAAAGAAGAUUUUUAAGGUUGUAUGUGUGCUUCCAAGCUUUGAAGGAAGGUUGAAAAGGAGGUUUGAGACCGCUUAUAGGAUUGGAUAGUACCUUUUUGAAAGGAAAAAAUAGGGGAAUAAUGUUGGUUGCAGUGAGACAAGAUUCGAGUAAUCAUUUCUAUCCACUUGCUUGGGCUGUGGUUGAUAAAGAAACUAAAAGAACUUGGAACUGGUUUGUGGAGUUGUUGAAACACUCUUUGGAUUUGAAAGAUGGUGAAAGAAUUACCUUUGUAUCAUAUAUGGAAAAGGGUUUGUUGGAUGUUGUUAGUAACGUAUACCCACAAGCAAAUCAUAGAUGGUGUGUUAGGCACAUUGAAGCUAAUUGGAGCAAAAAAUAAAAAAGUGGGGAGAUGAAAAAACUUCUUUGGUGGUAUGCCUGGAGCACAUAUGAAAAGGAGUUUAAAGAUCAGUUAAAGAAAUUGGGUCAGCUAGAUGAGGAUGCUGCUAAGGCUUUGGUGAGCUAUCCACCCAAAAAUUGGUGUAGAGCUUAUUUUGACACCCAAUGCAAGUACUUUAUGGUGGACAACAACUUCACAAAAUCUUUCAACUCUUGGAUUGUAGAGGCCAGACAAAAACCAAUUAUAAAGAUGCUUGAAGAUAUUAGGGUGAGGUUAUGAACAUGUUAAGGGAUCACGAAGCUGAGAUUUUACGUUGGAAAGAUGAGUUUUCACCACAUGCAAUGCAGCUUUUUAAAGAUUACAGAGUUAUUGCCAACAACUGUAAGGUUGUGUUCAAUGGUGACAUUGGAUAUGAGGUGGUUGAGGGUACAGAUAGGCAUACAGUCAAUAUGGAGCUUAAGAGAUGCACAUGCAGGGCAUGAAACUUGUCUGGAAUUCCAUGCCCUCAUGCCAUUAAGGCAUUUCUCUAUGGGAGACAAGAUCAUGUUUCUCAAAUACAUUGGUUUUAUUCUAAGGAGGCAUAUUCGAUGGUAUAUAGGCAUAAACUCCAACCUGUUAGGGGAGAAAAAUUCUGGAAAGUGGAGCCCCACCAGGCCAUGGAGCCCCCUACUUUAGCUAAAAUGGUUGGCACACCAAAGGUUAAGAGAACAAGAGAAAAUGAUGAAGCUAAAAACUGACAAGGGAAAUGGUCUGCUUCUAGGAAAGGCCUGUUAAUGACUUGUGAAUAUUGUGGUCAGCCAAAUCACAAUAUAAGAAAGUGCCCAUUGGCAAAUGAUAAGCGCAAACACUUCUUCUAAGAUGAAGGAAAUUCCCAAUCAGCACAAGAAUCUCAAGAAUCUGCAUCUUUUUCCAUUCCAAAACCUGGACUAAAUCAACAGAACAAUCAGUCAUGGAGUCAGCAUUCUAGUCAACUAUCAGUCUUGGAUUAUGAUUCUGGUCCCACUUUAAGGCCUAAAGUGGUCUCAGAAGGAAAAACCCGGCUGCAAACUAGGAUGAUGAAGGAAAAUACUGGAACCAGAAAAAUAAAUUUCAUGGGAGAUCACACUGGUGCUAUGCCAACCAAUCUUCCAUAUUCACCACAAAAACUGACAUGGAAGGGAAAAGAAGCAAUGACUACAACACAGUUACAAGCUGAAAAAGAGAAGAUGAUUUGCAAGCUUAAGGUUAGAAGGGGUACAAGAAUGUAGAAUUAGUUGGGUGUUUAAUAUUUUUGGUGUUAUAUAAAGAGAAUGAAGGAAUGACUUCAAACAAUUAGUGUUUUUGCUGAUUUGUGCUCGUACUGGUUGUUAGACAAUUAAAUAUGGUGAAAGGUUAUGUUAAUGUUCAA